UCUCUCACUAGAAGGGAAAACCUGUAAUGGCAACAGACUGUAAAAGAGACCCAGUUUGUGAACGUUUCAAUGAAGUUCCUCUACUUGUGCAUAAGACAGGCAUGAGCUGGUUGCCCGAAUGAAACAACAUCAUGAGAAGUGUUCCUUCUCAGGAGGAAGCUGCAUUAAAGAUGAUGAAAAGAACAUGUCUGAAGAUGCAGGAUCUUCAGGAGAAUCCAUCCUCAGCGUACAGGAUUCUCAAAACUAUCCACCUUCAAGCUCACAAUCAUGUUCUAUAAUUUCAGAGUUAUCUGCCAAUGAUAGUGUUUCAGUCAUAUCAUAUAUAUCACAUAGCGACAGUAGAUCACCUGUAGCAAAAAGAAAAAAAAAUCUCCAUCAUCCAGAAACAACCAUAGAUAAAUUUGUGAUAAGAACCAGCAGAUUACAAAAAGAGGUAACUGAUGAAAAAAUUGCCCGG